CCCCUGGAGACAGAGGCCUCUGUGCACCGGCAGCCUCAGGGACUGAGAAAAGGGAAGAGGGGGGUUCGUCAGUAGGAAGUUGAGGUGCUGUUACCUGAAAAUGGGAGCUAGAUACCAACCUGUCCACACACCCACCCCUUCUCCCGCCUCAUCUCUGCACAUUGUAUGACCUCAGGCCAACCCCUUCCCCUCUCUGGGUCUCAUGUUCCUCCUCCAGAAAAUGGGCAGGAGGCCGUUUCAAUUCCAACAUUCCAGAAUUCUGGGACAGCUUCCAGGACUGGAGGCUGCUCCCUAGAUCCCAGGAACGUCCCAGCACUUCUGGGGACGGAAGUGGAGCAUCAGCCAGAGCCCUCCCCGGCCCCCAGCCUGGUAAUAUGCUUAGAAGAUGACAAUUGGGCUGCCUUUGGCCGAAAUUCCACUCCCGUGGGGGCCUUGCCAAGGAAAACAAACCCAAGAAGCAGGCAUUAAAGGCCAGCCUCUUUCCAGGUGGAUAGGGCCCAAUGUGCUUAAACAUCUGACCAUUGUCCUGGCCCCAAGCCCCCCAGCACCAGGCAGGGCUGAAGCUAGGAGUCAUCACAAGCCACACAGGCCCAGGGUUCAAAUCCCAUCUCUGCCGCUGCUCUGGCCGGGAGACCUGGACAACGCUCCUCACCUCUUGGGCCUGUUUCUUCAUCCAUGCAGUGGGUGUCUUGGUCUGUUUUGUGUUGCUAUAACAGAAUACCAUUUCUAACAGUCCUGGAGACCGGAGAGCUGAAGAUUGAGGGGCUCGCUCAAGAGAGGGCCUUCUUGCUGUCGUUCCCUGGCGAAGGCAUCUCAUGGCAAGAGGCGGCAUGUGAGACAGCAAGGCAUGGCUGAACUCACUUACGUGACAAAUCCACUCUGUCCAUCACGAAACCACUCCUGCGUUACUGACACGAAUCCAUUCAUCAGCUCAGAGUCCUCAUGACCCGGUCACCUCUUAGCAGCCCACAUGAUCUUUGGGAGACCCGUUGGGACCACGGCAGUGCGGGCUGAGACUCUGGCCCCUCCCCAGGGCGCUGUGGCUCUUUCUUACACAUACACCAGAUACUGUGCCUCGUGGCCACCGCGUCCCCCUGCUGUCUCAGUUUGAGGGCAAAAGUGACAUGUCAGGCCACAGCUACCCACACCAUCAGCCAUCUCAUCCUCCAUGACCUGAAGGGAAAUGAUGAAAGACUUUUCUAGAAAUAAAUGAUUUUUAAAAAGACUUUU